rnacentral:tRNA from 1 species
UUCUUUCUAGUUUAUAAAGAAUAUUUGUCUUCCAAACAAAGGGACCUUAAUAUAAGGGAAAGAAA